rnacentral:rRNA from 1 species
UACGUAGGUGGCAAGCGUUGUCCGGAUUUACUGGGCGUAAAGAGCGCGCAGGCGGUCGUCCAAGUCGCGUGUGAAAGCCCCCGGCUCAACUGGGGAGGGUCACGCGAUACUGGUCGACUCGAAGGCAGGAGAGGGUAGUGGAAUUCCCGGUGUAGUGGUGAAAUACGUAGAGAUUGGGAAGAACACCAGUGGCGAAGGCGGCAUCCUGGACCGAUACUGACGCUGAGGAGCGAAAGCCAGGGGAGCAAACGGG